AUUGAACGCUGGCGGCAGGCCUAACACAUGCAAGUCGAGCGGAGCGGCGGACGGGUGAGUAAUGCCUAGGAAUCUGCCUGGUAGUGGGGGAUAACGUCCGGAAACGGGCGCUCAUACCGCAUACUAGCAGAUGCGCCUAGGUCGGAUUAGCUAUUUGUUGGGGUAAAGGCCUACCAAGGCGACGAUCCGUAACUGGUAUGAGAGGAUGAUCAGUCAAACUGGAAGUGAGACACGGUCCAGACGCCUACGGUAGGCAGCAGUGGGGAAUAUUGGACAAUGGGCGAAAGCCUGAUCAAGCCAUGCCGCGUGUGUGAAGAAGGUCUUCGGAUUUUAAAGCCCUUUAAGUUGGGAGGCGUUACCAACAGAAUAAGCACCGGCUAACUUCGUGCCAGCAGCCGCGGUAAUUC
rnacentral:rRNA from 1 species